rnacentral:lncRNA from 1 species
UCCCCUGCUUCCUCUUCCUUGCUGUUAUUAGGUUGAUAAUUAUGACAAAAGUGAUGGAGUCCAUCUGUUCUCCAGACUGGGCUAGAUCUGCUAAAAAUCAUUCCUGGACUCGGCAGACCAUUGGGUCGCUGCUCACGUGCACUGCAUUACUCUUCUGUAGACCUUCUUUGCUGAACAGAUUCCAAAGGAAGCAAGCAAUUGAAUAUUAUAAACAAGUGAUACAAAUAAAGGAAAAUGCGGGGACUUUCGCCAACUCCUCACUCGUCAGGAAGCAGCUAAGCAUUAGCCUCAGUGACACCUUGUGUAAAUUAGGGGAUAUGUAACAUUGCAGAAUGAUGGGAUUUUAUAGCCUCCGGUUGCUGGAAUUGUACACAUUUGCAGAAGCACUGGAAGAUGCUGAGAAUGAUUUUGCAGAGUUUUAAAGUAGCGUGCCCAGGCACAUGAAGUAAGGGCAGAGCGAACACUGAGUAAGCGCCUAGUGUGUGCCAGGCACAGAGCUGUGUGCUAUACGACUGCCAACCCAUUUAAUUCUCAUGACGACCCUAGGAGGUAGGUACCGUUAUUUCCCCCUGUUUAACUCAGCAUCCGUAGAAGAAUUUGGACAAAGAAACUUGAUUUUCUAGUUAGAUGCUUGAUCCACUGUAUUGUCCUUGGGGCCAGUGAAGCUGUUUCCCACUUCCAGAAGUUGACUGCUUUGUUGAGGCUUCUCUAGGGUCAGAAGUGGCUGUUCAGCACCAUUCUCACAGGGGGUCAUUCUAAGAACAGAAGAAAAUCACUGCCAAGGAGAAUGGUUAUUGGUUCUGGUUUUAGCAAUUUGCAAAGUCCAAUAAAAAAUAAAUCCCAAAGUACUCA